rnacentral:lncRNA from 1 species
AGGACAUGUUGUUCCUUGUCUUGAAUGAUAAUCACUCAUUGGUCCACAUGACACAUAUUUUAUUGGAACUAUUGCAGAAACAUUGGUGCACUCCUCUUAUACUUUUCCGGUUUCCUAUUAACAACCAUAGGUUCCUGGAGGCAGAUUAGAGGGAGGUAAAAUUAUUUUUUGAGCAAUUGCAGUCUUUUUAAGGAUUCUUUAGACCUAAUUCUCCUAAUAUCAUAUGAUAAUGUACUAAUCAUUGGAGACAUUGGGCGACGGGUAUUAUUGAUAAUUCUUGGAUUCUUUUGUCAAAUUAUUGUUGGAAAAGUAAGCUCCACCAAUAAUUUGAUUGUUUCUUAAGGACAAUUUUUAGAGUAAGUAAUAUUCAGACAUAUUUACAUAGAUAAUUCAUCGGGUUCUUCAUAAUCUGCACUUUUGUUUGACCUUCUAAUGAUCCCAUCAUCAAACUUUAAAGAGUUAUUAUCUUCAUUUAUGUACUCCAUGAACAUAUCUGGGUCAGGAGGUUUCUCCACCCUGAUUUCCAUAUCUUGAAGCUGAUUCUGUUAUGAUUCCAUUUUCUUCUCUCUUUGUUGAUAUGCAUUAGGUGGAUCUGGUUCUUGAGUCCUUUCCAAAUCACUCUCUUUCCUCAUUCUAUGGCCCAUUACCUCUUUCCCUCUUAUUCUUAUCCUAUCGUCAGAAUUUCUAUUGAUUUGUGCAGUAUUAAUAGCUGGCCAGUUUGCUGUAGGCUGCUCCCUGCAGCUCAUGUCCAUCUUAUUUCCUUGUUGUAUUUCUCCCUUUAGUAUGAGUUCUUCAGGUAUAUAGAUUUUAUCUUUGAACUUUGUAUUCUUUUUGGAUAUUCUUUUGAUAUCUCUUCAUCUACAACUACCAAUGCAACCAUUUCUCCUUGUAGUUGAGCUUCAACAUUUUUGAAGUUUGGUGAUGUCUAGUUUCUGGGGCCUUUGACACUCAACUUAUUUUGCUGCCUUUUGAUCUAUGCCUUCUCUUUAUCACCUUGAGCUUUAUCACAUCUAGUAGGUUUUUGUGUAGAUUGGAUAUGCAAGGCUUGAACAUGGAUACUCUCAUAGUCAAUAGGGUAUAGGUUAGUUUCCAUUUCCUCAAUGACAACAUUGUUUUGAAGUUGGGUGUAUAAAUUUGAUUCUCCUUGUUACUAUAUGGUUGUUGAUUCUUCUCUUCCCCUUUUGUACUUAUUUGGUCAUAUUUGUUUUCCUUCACAUUAUUUACCUUUUCUCCUCUACACUUGUUAUUCCUUUUCCCUUUUAUUCUUUUCACAUGUUGCUCUCAUUCUUUAUCUACAUUAUGUUUGUUCCCUUCACUGUCUUGUUCCUGGGAUAUUGUUGCAUCUGCCCUUAUUUGAGUGCUUUAUUAAUUGUGUCCAUUUUCCAACUGGUGUUGGCAUUACUACUGGCUUUGUUAUUAUUCAGUUGCCUAUUGGAACCAUUUCCUUUUAGAUUCUCUAGACCCUCCUUCCAUAUAUCUCUAUUUUUGCUCCUUCCCUUUGGAUUUUUGGAUGUAGAACUUUGUACUUUUCAUAUGAUUUCCCUUGAAUUUUGUAAUGAAAGCAUUAAGCUAGUAUGGUUUCAUAUUCAAAUUUCUGCUCAAACACUUCCAUUUCACCUUGUAGAUUUCUUAUUUCCACAAAAACUUCGGAGAGCAAAGGCUUAGCGAGGUCAACUUCUACUCUCAAUUUGGCAGUGGUAGGUCUAGUUUUUAAAAAAGUAGCUUUAUCAAUAAUAAUUGGUGUACCUAUAGGACUAACAAUCGUACAUAGAGCAUCCCAUUCGUAGUAGUCUCAUGACAUAUCAUGUAGGUUAAUCCAGACAGGGGGCAAGAGUAGUCUCAGCUUCUAGCUUGAAUUUAGUGGGCCACUUUAUGAUUUUCCUGUUGCUUUCCUUAUCAAGGUGUAUGAAAGAUUUAGAAUAAUUAGUAUUAAAUUCUCCCUCAUAUUCAACAUCUAUGAAAACACGUUUGAGGUUAGUAACCACAAUUUUCACAUUCAGUAAUAAUCUUGGCAAAGUCAACUCUAAUGUUUUCAAUUGAAGGUCGAGUACGAACGAAUUUACCAGUAAUAGUCCAUCGGCAGGAGCUAGCAAGCAAAUCAUGUUCCUCUUUAGUGAAUACAACAACUGGUUUGCCAUUUACCAUCUCGAAUUGUAAUGGUGGAAGUCGGAUUCAACCUCUGGGGUGAGCGACUGUCGGAUGCCCUAGAGCUCCUACAUAUGAAGCUUGUUGAUUUGAAGUAGACCCAACUACUAUUGUCGUUCUUUCUUGCUGAAUUUUAGUGAGUCCAACUGUAAUUUUUCCUUGCUCAGUGGUUGUAAUUCGAUUCGGGGAACUGGGUUCUGACAAGAGGAGUGUUACAUUUCGCGUUUUCGUACAUUAAAGUUUCGUCGUAAGUUAAUCGACGUAGACUCGGGAAUGAGAUUAUUUUUGAGAUUAUAAGAAUUUAUGCUAUUUAUAACAGGCAAUAAGUAAGUGCCGUGAAGGUUAGAGGGUAAACGAAUAAAUGAAAAUGAGUUUCGUUGAAGGUUGUCAAUUUAAGAUAAAAUACGGUCCGAGCUAUAAUACCCGGUAUUUAUAGACUAGUGUCAUACAAGGUAACACAUGACCAUGAUAGUAAGGUGUAUAAAGUAUGUUAAAAGUGAGUUGUAUUUUAACUAAUUUGGGAUAAUUCUUAAUUAUAUGAAUAAUUGGGUAAUUAUUGAUUUGAGUGGGAGAUUAGCUAAUUAAUUAUGAUCUUUGGAUAAGCUUAAUGAACAUCAACGUGGCAGCCAAGGACCUUAGAUAAAUGUGACUCUUAAGAUCAUUUAAUAAGGUGGCACACUUAGAGGAUUAUGUGGCUAAAUCAUCAAAAAAAAAUGGGGCUCACAACCAAAAAUUUUAAGACAUCUUCCUACAUCUUUAAGGGGGGUGUGGUGCUAAGUUACGGAUGAAUUCCUAAGUGAAUUCAUAUGAAAUUUCAUGACGCUACAGCAGCGUGAGAUUCAAUUCUAAGAGAGCACGGUAUAAUCUUUCUCAAGAAUAUCAUACGGUUUUUUCCUACUCCGAUCCUCCGUUGCGUGUUUUUCGCAAAAGACGUAUUAGAGGGAUUGUUAAGAGAAUCGGCUCAGGUAUGUUAAGGCUAUCCCUUCUUUUUUUUUGGCAUGAUUCAUACGAUACAAACAAAAUGAGCAAAGGCAACACUUUCAUAAAUGACUAUUCAUAGAAGUACUAGGGGUGCCUAUGUUCUUGAUUCCCCAUAUGAAUUAUUAUUAUAUCUUCUAUUCAUGGGUCUCAAAAAAAUACGUAGUUGAUAAAAUUUAUCCGAAGGCAUAUUGAUCUUAUGACAUAUCGAAAAGUCUUAUAAACUUACUUCUCAUGCAUUUCAUUCAUUUAUACAUGUAUAUUGACCCAUGACCAGAUGGCGUUAUAUACGCGUAUAUUAUAUGUAUGUGGGAUAUGAGAAAAGGUUACGAUGUUAUAUACGCACCACCACCUGAUCAGCUGGUAUAUGUUGAUGAUUUUGCCCACAGUGGCCGAGAUGAUAUGACGAGAUGUCCUCAGAGGCUUGAUGAUGUGAUGUACACCUAUACCUAUGCAUGAUAAGACAUUUAUACGCACGUGCAUGACAUUAUAAAUGUUUCAGGAUUCACAAAGUUAUUUAGACUUACAGGUGAAAUUCUUUACUACAUGUUUCAUCUAUGUCUUUAUGCACUGAUUUUCAUGCCUUACAUACUCAGUACAUUAUUCGUACUGCAUCCAUUUUACCUGGGUACGCUGUGUUUCAUGCCCGCAGGUGCAGGUAGACAAGCUGAAGGUCCCCCUUUUUAGGAUCCUUGAUCAGCGAGAGUUGGUGUGCUCCACUUCAUCCGGAGCUGUUAUUAGUUUUGGUAUGCUACUUUUAUAUGUAGAUAUGGGUACAACGGGGCCCAGUCCCAUCCUUUAUACAUUUGUACACUCUAUUAGAGGUCUAUAGACAGUCAUGUAUAGUCCGAUAGUAUGUGGCCUUGUCGGCUUUCAGUUUUGGAUAUAUAGUUGUUCAUCGCAGCCUUGUCAGCUUGCCCANNNNNNNNNNNNNNNNNNNNNNNNNNNNNNNNNNNNNNNNNNNNNNNNNNNNNNNNNNNNNNNNNNNNNNNNNNNNNNNNNNNNNNNNNNNNNNNNNNNNNNNNNNNNNNNNNNNNNNNNNNNNNNNNNNNNNNNNNNNNNNNNNNNNNNNNNNNNNNNNNNNNNNNNNNNNNNNNNNNNNNNNNNNNNNNNNNNNNNNNNNNNNNNNNNNNNNNNNNNNNNNNNNNNNNNNNNNNNNNNNNNNNNNNNNNNNNNNNNNNNNNNNNNNNNNNNNNNNNNNNNNNNNNNNNNNNNNNNNNNNNNNNNNNNNNNNNNNNNNNNNNNNNNNNNNNNNNNNNNNNNNNNNNNNNNNNNNNNNNNNNNNNNNNNNNNNNNNNNNNNNNNNNNNNNNNNNNNNNNNNNNNNNNNNNNNNNNNNNNNNNNNNNNNNNNNNNNNNNNNNNNNNNNNNNNNNNUAUAUAUAUAUAUAUAUAUAUAUAUAUAUAUAUCUUUUGGACAUAUUUUCCUCACAUAUGUUAUUCACGUGCUUCGGCAGUUUAAUGGUAGAUGUUAUUCAUUACCUACCCUUAAUUUAUAUUUAUAUCUUAGAUAUAUGCUUAGGGGUGUUCGACAGGUAGGACUUAGGCACUCGUCAUGGCCCAUCGGGUUGGGUCGUGACAAAAGUGGUAUCAGAGCAGUUCUGUCCUAGGGUUGUCUAUAGACCGUGUGUAGUAGAGUCUUGUUUAUGAGUGUAUUGUGCACCACACUUAUAGACAUGAGGCUACAGGACAUAUAGGAUGUUAUCCUCCCUUCUUAUCUUAGAUCGUGCUAUAUAAGAAUUCAUUUUCCUAAUGAUGUGUUAUGCUUUUAGCGGUGCCAGAGAAGGCUACAUCCACCCAAAAGGGCAAGUCUGUGGCUGAUGAGACUACUAGUCAAGCGCCACAAGUUACCAUGGCUCGGGGAGAGACUCAUAGUGAGAUUCCAUCACAAACUUCACAUACCCCACCCUCUUCAGAGGAGCUCCGAGGGGCACCAGCUCCUGCACCCACACUUGUACGUCCAGCUCCUCAGCCAGGUGCACCGGGUCAGGAGAUGAGAGAGGCUAUUCAGCUAUUAAGUCGAUUAGUAGUCACAUAGGCUCGGAGUCAGGAAGUAGGUAUUGGUUAUGCAGAUACGGCCAUCAGUGCAAGGGUUCGUGAUUUCAUUAAUUUAGACCCUCCGGUAUUCACUGGAGCAGAUCCAAACAAGGACCCUCAGGUAUUUAUCGAUAGGAUACAGAGGACUUUGAGGGUAAUGAAGGCCACUGUGACUGAGUUAGUUGAGCUAGUUUCCUAUAGACUUCAAGAUGUUGCAGUUAAUUGGUACGAAACUUGGGAGUUGUCCAGAGGUGAGGAUGCCCCUCCAGUGGUAUGACAGGAGUUUACAGAGGCUUUUCUUCGUUAUUAUCUGCCACCAGAGCUUAGAAGGGCUAGGGUUGAUAGGUUCUUGACCCUUCGACAGGGUAAUAUGAGUGUUCGAGAGUACAACCUUCAGUUUGAUUCGUUGGCUAGGUAUGCUCUAACUAUUGUAGUUAAGAUGGAGGAUCGGGUUCACUGAUUCGUGAUGGGGUUGGAGCCACACCUGCUUAACGACUGUAUGUCGGUCUCACUUUAGCUAGGCAUGGAUAUUUCUCAUAUUCAAGCAUACGCUCAGGGUGUAAAGGAGCAUAAGCAGAAGUAGAGGGCCGAUCGUGAGCAUGCUAGGGGCCAGAGUAAGAGAGCGAGAUCUUCAGGUCCUUCUGGUGAGUUUCGAGGUAGUUAGAGACAACAAUACCCGAGGUAUCCAGCCCAGCCAUCGGCUAGUGCACCACCUCAGUUUGCCGAUAGGAGAUUUGAUCGUUCCACAUAUUCAGGGCCUAGUCAGAAUUCCAAGGCCUCAAGUUCUCAAUAUAUGGGUGAGUCAAGUCAGAUGAGGCCGCCCUUGCCACGAUGUGCUCAUUGUGGUAAGCAGCACGUCGGGCAGUGCCGUAUGGGGUUGGGUGUUUGUUAUACUUUUGGUUAUCCAGGCCAUGUUAUGAGAGAUUGUCCGACGAGAGGUGGUACAAGCAUAGUUCAGCCAGGGGAUCUGUAGUUGGUUCGUCAUCAUCAGUACGCCCCCUUAGGCAAGGUUCACAAGCACCAAUCGGUUGUGGUAGAGGCAGAGGUAGAGCGUCUAGCUCGAGCAGUCCUCAGAACCGCAUAUAUGCAUUAGCAGGACGAUAGGAUCAUGAGUCAUCACCUAAUGUUGUUACAGGUAUAUUAUCAGUCUCCUCAUAUGAUGUAUAUGCACUGAUUGACCCAGGUUCGACCUUAUCAUAUGUUACUCUGUUGGUUGCUAGUAAGUUUGGAAUAAAACAAGAGUUGUUUAAACCUUUUGAGGUGUCCACACCUGUUGGGGAUCCAGUGAUAGCUAGGCAGGUAUAUAGAGGUUGUAUAGUAGUAGUUCAUAGUCAAUCUAUAGUAGCAGACCUAAUCGAGUUAGAUAUGGUAGAAUUUAAUGUUAUAAUGGGUAUGGAAUGGUUGGCUUCUUGUUAUGCCAACGAUGAUUGUAGAUCAAAGAUGGUCCGAUUCCAAUUUCCAGGGAAGCCUGUUUUGGAGUGGAAAUGUAAUACGGCAUCGCCGAGAGGCAAAUUUAUUUCCUAUCUCAAGGCAAGGAAGAUGAUCGGAAAGGGCUAUAUUUAUCACUUAGUUCGGGUACAGGAUGUGAAAGUAGAUUCACCAACGAUUCAAUCUAUCCCUGUGGUUAAUGAGUUUCCUGAUGUUUUUCCCGAUGAGCUUUCGGGUCUUCCGCCAGAGAGAGAAAAUGAGUUUUCUAUUUACCUAUUACCAUAUACUCAGCCAAUAUCUAUUCCUCCCUUUAGAAUGGCACCUGCAGAGCUAAAAGAGUUGAUGGAACAACUAAGGGACUUUCUUGAAAAAGGCUUUAUCAGACUUAGUACAUCACCGUAGGGAGCACCUGUGUUAUUUGUGAGGAAGAAAGAUGGUUCCUUGCGGAUGUGUAUUGAUUAUAGACUGUUGAAUAAGGUGACGAUCAAGAAUAAGUAACCACUCCCGAGGAUUGAUGAUUUAUUUGAUCAGUUGCAAGGUGCCAAGUAUUUCUCGAAGAUAGACCUGAGGUCAGGGUAAGAUCAAGUAAGGGUUAAGGAGAAGGAUAUUCUGAAGACAGCAUUUAGGACCAGAUACGGGCACUUUGAGUUUCAUGUUAUGUUAUUCGGUUUGACUAAUGCCUCGGUAGUAUUCAUGGACUUGAUAAACUGAGUGUUCAGACCCUUUAAAGAUCUAUUUAUGAUUGUAUUUAUCGAUGAUAUAUUGGUGUAUUCUCGUUCAGAGACUGAGCAUGCAGAUCAUUUGCAUACUGUGCUCAAAGUUCUACAAAAAGGGAAGUUGUAUGAAAAAUUCUCUAAAUGUGAAUUCUAUAGCUUUCCUUGGACAUAUUAUUUCAUGUGAGGGUAUCCAGGUUGAUACCCAAAAGAUUGAGGCGGUGAAGACUUAGCCUAGACCCACAACACCAAUGGAGGUUCGUAGCUUCCUCAGUUUGGCUGGUUAUUACAGGAGAUUUGUAGAGGGAUUUUCUUCUAUUUCAGCACCAUUGACAAAGUUGACUCAGAAGGGAGCUAAGUUCCAAUGGACUGAUGCUUGCGAGCGGAGUUUUUGAGUAUUGAAGGACAGAUUAACUUCAGCACCGAUUCUAAUACUCCCAUAGGGGACCGAUGGUUAUGCUAUCUAUUAUGAUGCUUCGGGUGUUGGAUUGGGUUGUGUACUGAUGCAGCAUGGUAAGGUUGUAGCUUAUGCUUCUAGACAACUAAGAAAGCACAAGAAGAAUUACCCAACCCACGAUCUAGAGUUAGCCGUAGUGAUUCAUGCACUAAAGAUGUGGAGACACUAUUUGUAUGGCAUUCAUGUUGAUAUCUAUACGCAUCAUAAGAGCCUUCAGUUUAUAUUCAAGCAAAAGGAAUUGAAUUUACAUCAAAGAAGAUGGUUGGAGCUACUGAAAGACUAUGACGUUGAUAUUUUUUACCAUCCAGGGAAGGCGAAUGUAGUAGCCGAUGCCCUCAGCCGUAGGUCUAUGGGUAGCAUGUCAUAUUUACAACUAGAGAAUAGUGGGAUAACCCAUGACAUUCAUCAACUAGCUAGUCUUGGAGUUCGAUUACUGGACUCAGGUAAUACUGGAAUUACUAUUCAGGGCACAGUAACAUCCUCUUUAGUAACUGAAGUGAAGCAACGCCAGUACGAGGAUCUUGUGUUAGCUCAUUAUAGAGAUACAACCCCUCAGAAGGAGAAGACACCAUUUGAGAUUUUAGAAGAUGGGAUCCUCAGAUAUCGAGGACGAUUAUGUGUCCCUAAUGUUGCGGAGCUGCGUCGGCAGGUUAUGGGAGAAACUCACUAUUCUUAUUAUUCUAUCCAUCCAGGAGCAACAAAAAUGUAUCAUGAUAUCAGGGAAAUAUAUUGGUGGGACGAAAUGAAAAAGGAAAUAGCGGAGUUUGUUGCUCAGUGCCCUAACUGUCGGUAGGUUAANNNNNNNNNNNNNNNNNNNNNNNAUAGACUUACAAAUAAGCCCAUUUUCUGCCCGUUAGGACUACUUAUUCCGUAGAGGAUUAUACAAGGCUUUACAUUAAGGAGAUAGUACGACAUCAUGGUGUCCCUAUAUCUAUUAUCUUGGAUAGAGGUGCUUAGUUUACAGCUAAUUUCUGGAAGUCCUACCAAAAAGGAUUGGGGACUCAGUAUGACAUUUCAUCCCCAAACAGACUGACAGGCUGAGCGUACUAUUAAGACACUUAAGGAUAUGUUACGAGCAUGUGUGAUAGAUUUCAAGGGUAGCUGGGAUGAUCAUCUGCUGCUUAUUGAGUUCGCGUAUAAUAAUAGCUAUCAUUCCAGUAUUAAGAUGGCUCCAUGCAAAGCUCUUUAUGGACGGAAGUGUAGGUCACCUAUAGGACGGUUCGAUGUUAGGGAAACUAAGUUAGUAGGACCAGAGUUUGUACAAUAAGCAAUUGAGAAGAUUAAGCUUAUACAGGGAAGGCUAUUAAUAGCUCAAAGCCGUCAGAAGUCUUCUGCGGAUAAUCGAUGACGAGACUUGGAGUUUCAGGUUGACGAUUGGGUAUUCCUAAAGGUAUCACCGAUAGAAGGCAUUAUGAGUUUUGGUAUGAAAGGAAAACUUAGCCCUCGGUACAUUGGACCCUAUAAGAUCAUAUGUCAGGUAGGCCAGGUAGCAUAUGAGUUAGACUUGCCUUCUUACUUGGAGUCUGUACAUCUAGUCUUUCAUGUCUCUAUGCUUCAUAAAUGCAUCAGAGAUCCUUCUAGAGUCAUGUCAGUUGACGAUGUUCAGGUCACAGAGCAGCUAUCAUAUCAGGAAACUCCCAUUUCUAUACUAGAUAGACAGGUUCAGAAAUUGAGGAUUAAGAUGUAGCUUCGGUGAAAGUACUUUGGAGAAACAAUAAUGUGCAAGAAAUGACUUGGGAACCCGGGGAUUCAUGAUGCUAAGAUGGACUUAUGUGUUGAUGAUUGUAGAGAUUCUUCGCGGCGAGCUUACGAGCCGCAAUACGGACUUUUUAGGUUGAACAGUGCUUGGGGAGUUGAAGUAAAUGUUUGGCAGAGUAGGGCAUUUCUGCGGUCCACUAUGUGAUCGCAGAAUCACUCUGUGGGCCGCAGAUCGACCGCAAAGUGCAAUAGAAAAAUGGCCAAUUUUGGAGGGUCAUUUUGCGUUCCAAUAUGCGACUGCAUAAUGCUUUCGCGGGCCGCACAAUCCAUCACAGAUUCAGCAUGAAGAUUUUCGGAGGGAAGUUCUGCGGUGCAUUAUGCGACAGCAGAACUGGUCUGCGGAUCGCAGACCUGACCCGAAUAGCCCAGUUCUUGACAUCACUUCUGUGGCCCAUUUUGCAGAUCGCAUAUCUGUUCUGCGGUCCACUCUGCGACCGCAGAGCUGUGUUCGGAGGGCCCAUUUUCUGAUUUUUAUAACCCGACCUUAUUUCGAUAUAUAGACGAUAAGGACCAUUUGUAAAGAGAAAAGCUGAUAUUUUUAGAGUAAGGAAGUGCUCUAGAGUGAGAGGGGAGUUCCUAAGCUAUUUCUCAUCAAUCCUUGUUCAAAGGUUGGAGAAUUCACAAGGAAAACUCACAAGUUCUUCAUCCAAGAGGUAAGGUUCCACACCCUAGUUCCAAUUUCGAAAUUAGGGUAGAAGAUGGCUAACAGGGGGUGUGAUUCUUGGGUGUGAGAGCGAUCAUUUUAUGCAUGCAUGUACUAUCAAGGUUGUGGGAAGGUUGUUGGGCUCAAAUGGGUAGACUUUGGGUUGUGCGAUGAAGGAAACCACCAUAGGAAGACCUUGUGAUCAUAACGCCCACCUAGUGUUUGUUAAAAUGCCCAAAUGAGCUAAACCCGUGAACUCCUUCCUAAUUUGUGUUUAAAUUUGUUAUAUUUCCAAAUAGAUCGAAGUUGCUAAGAUUUUCGAAAAUAUUGUAGUAAUUCAAGGAAACUCAAACAAGAUAUGUUGGCUAAACUUCUCUAUUAGAAUUGAAUCCCACGAUGUUCUUUUAAGUCUCGAGUUAUUAUUUAUAAAUUGACUAUUCCGAAUAAGCUUGGNNNNNNNNNNNNNNNNNNNNNNNNNGCUCAUAUGUGUAUUUAAAUUCUUAAUUUGAAAAGCCUUGUUAUUAAUGACCCAUGAUGAUAUUUGAAAGUGAAAGAAGGAAGUAUGAAAUAUGAAGUACGGCCAACGUGCCAAGAAUGAUAUUGCAUUAUGGCCAUUGGUGCCAAUGAAAUGAAUGAUAUAUAAAAGAUUAUGAAAUGAGUGAUAAAUUCUUUAAAUAAUAAAUUCUUUGGGAGUAUAGUUUAGCCACCGAGGAAGGGUAGGUCGAAAUAACCUAACCCCGAAACUACACGUGCCGGUAUGGGAGUGAUUGAGGGGUAAAUCCUCGUGUUAAUGUGAUGAAGUUGUUUCUUCUUAUAUGGGAUGAGAUUGAUGUGUUGAUAUGUUUCCCCUUAAAUGGGAUGAGAUUGCUAAUGAGAUGUGAUGUGAUGUCGACCCACACGUCAUUAUGAUAAGAUGGCUUAGCCGACGCCAUGUCGCGCACAUGGUGGUAUUGUGAGUGGAUGUCUCGGGGUGAGACGGCUUAGCCGAUCGGGCUGAGAUCGGACUCUGUGCUAAAAACACGGUGGUAUAUCGGUGCUAAUGAUCUCCCAACUUAAGAAAACUAAAACUUACUUGAAAUUUACCUUUUCCCUAACUUGACACCUUGAUACUGUUUGAGUCUCUUGUUGAUUUCAUAUUUCCCUCUCCGUUUACUGUUACUCGUUCUAUUGAGAGGAUGUUUAGUUUUACAUACUAGUACUAUUCCAUAUGUAUUAACGUCCAUUUUGACGGGGGCGCUGUAUCUUUAAUUGAUGCAGGUGGUUCCAUAGCAAGUGGUAUUGAUCAGUGAUAGCAGCACAUCCUCUCCCCAGCUGACUUGGUGAGCCCCACUUUAUUUCGGGGUGUCCUUUGCACAUAGCAUUUUGAGGUAUAGUCGGGGCCUUGUUUCCGGCACUGUCAUAGAACUCUUUUGUUUCUGUUAGAGGCUCCGUAGACAUAGUAUGCGUUGUAUCUUAUUUUGGGAAAGUUAAAAUGAAAUGGUUGUAAUUGUAUCACAUGUUCCACUUCAACUACCAAUGUAUAGUGUACUAUUUUGGAGACUUGUUAAUGACGUAACUAAUGGAAAUGAACUGGUUUUAUUCA